rnacentral:piRNA from 1 species
UUUGGAAAAGCUGUUGACAUCUCAU